AGGCAGAUGGCGGAGUGGUCUAACGCGCCACGUUUAGGCCGUGGUCCAGCAAUGGGCGUGGGUUCGAACCCCACUCUGCUCA